GGAGAGAGUCUGAGCCUAAAAUAAAAGAGAGUGGAAGUGAGGAAAAGAGCUUCUGGGGCUGAAGGCGGAGGCCAGGAUCAAAGGAAGCAAAGAGGAGUGUCUGGUUCAGAGGGAAGUGGGAACAUAUGGAGGAGAAAGAGAAGACUUGGUAACGUGUUGACAGAGGACACUUGGAUAUUGGGAGAAAAGCUGUGACUGGGAGCUCAUAGGGAAAUGUUUGAGAAAAGGAUGGAGGAUGGGCUAGAAGGAUUUAGUCUGACACUAAAUGGGGUCUAUGAGAUGGAGAAUUGCAGCAGGAUAAAGGGUAGAUUUUGAGAGUUGUGGAAGAAGGUGCAGACUGAAGUGGGCAAAAUUUCUGAAAGAGGAGCCUGAAGAAUGAAGGGCUCCCAAGUGACAAAAGCAGGAGAGGAGAUAAGAAAGAAGUGAGAAAAAACACAAGAAGCCACGUGCCAUAAUGGUGAUUGUGUUUGUUGAUCUCUGCCAUCCCGAGAUCAUCACUCCUAGCCUCCUCUGGAAACUCUCUGAGAGUUGGGGAAUUGUCUCUUUUAUAAGAGGCCUACACAGGCACGAGGUCAUACUUGGGCAGUUUUCGGCUUUGUGAAAAUCUCUCAGAUUGCACCGCACAGUAUACAACUGAUGAACCAGACAACCACAGUCGUUCUUUGGAUUGCAUUUUCUCCUGAGAUAUCAGACGCAUUUCACCAGGGCCACAGAAAGAAAAAUGAAGACCAAGAUACCGUGACAAAUGCCAACUACCUCGU
rnacentral:sRNA from 1 species